CGGCUGCGUGGACGACUCGGCGGUGCUCGCCCGCGCCGCCGGCGCGCGGGUGGUGCGCGAGCCGCGCCGCGGGGUCCCGGCCGCGGCGGCCGCC
rnacentral:tRNA from 1 species